ACACUCCUGCGGGAGGCAGCAGUGGGGAAUAUUGCACAAUGGGCGCAAGCCUGAUGCAGCCAUGCCGCGUGUAUGAAGAAGGCCUUCGGGUUGUAAAGUACUUUCAGCGGGGAGGAAGGCGAUAAGGUUAAUAACCUUGUCGAUUGACGUUACCCGCAGAAGAAGCACCGGCUAACUCCGUGCCAGCAGCCGCGGUAAUACGGAGGGUGCAAGCGUUAAUCGGAAUUACUGGGCGUAAAGCGCACGCAGGCGGUCUGUCAAGUCGGAUGUGAAAUCCCCGGGCUCAACCUGGGAACUGCAUUCGAAACUGGCAGGCUAGAGUCUUGUAGAGGGGGGUAGAAUUCCAGGUGUAGCGGUGAAAUGCGUAGAGAUCUGGAGGAAUACCGGUGGCGAAGGCGGCCCCCUGGACAAAGACUGACGCUCAGGUGCGAAAGCGUGGGGAGCAAACAGGAUUAGAAACCCGGGUAGUCCCAUGA
rnacentral:rRNA from 1 species